GGUCAAGUUAUUAAGGGUGCAGGGCGGAUGCCUUGGCACUAGGAGCCGAUGAAGGACGUGAUAAGCUGCGAUAAGCUUCGGGGAGUUGCACGUAAACUUUGAUCCGAAGAUUUCCGAAUGAGGAAACUCACUUAGAGUAAUGUCUAAGUAUCAUUAAGUGAAUACAUAGCUUAAUGAGGGGAACUCAGGGAACUGAAACAUCUAAGUACCUGAAGGAAGAGAAAGAAAUUCGAUUCCGUAAGUAG
rnacentral:rRNA from 1 species